GGACGUACUCUGCUGUUGCUAACGAGAUCCCGGUGUGGCUGAGGUGUGCGUGCGCGUAGUGUGACAGAGUGAAAGGAUGGACUCUGCGUUGGGUAACUGGAGAUGUGCUCUCACUCAGCUGGCUCUGUGGAAAACGGGAUCAGCACAAAACACAACCUUCCUGUUGCUCACCACAAGAAUGAAAGGUAUGUCCCCGACUCAGAGAUGUAGGAAACCAUCCCACAAACAUCUGUCCGACUCCGCUCUCUGGACGACCAUCCGGUGGACCGUCACCAGGACGCAAACCCACUGGGACCUCUCUCUGAGGGAGUGCUGACAGAACGCCAGAAGCGGCUCUAUCUGUCAUCGUGAAAACUGCAGGAGAUGAGCACCAGCCUCCUGCGAUCCUGGCGGAUAAGUUGCAAAAGAUGGACGGAAACUGAAUGCCAAAAUUUGAUGAAAAAUAGCUGUUUUUCUCUAAA